rnacentral:rRNA from 1 species
CCUACGGGUGGCAGCAGUGGGGAAUAUUGGGCAAUGGAGGCAACUCUUACCCAGCAAUGCCGCGUGAAUGAUGAAGGUCUUCGGAUUGUAAAGUUCUUUAAUCGGGGACGAAAAAAAUGACGGUACCCAAGGAGUAAGCCCCGGCUAACUACGUGCCAGCAGCCGCCGUAAUACGUAGGGGGCAAGCGUGGUUCGGAAUGACUGGGCGUAAAGGGCGUGUAGGCGGUGUAGCAAGUUAGAGGUGAAAUACCUAGAGCUUAACUCAGGUGCUGCUUCUAAAACUGCUAUACUUGAGUGCAGUAGAGGAAAGUGGAAUUCCUAGUGUAGCGGUGGAAUCCGUAGAUAUCUGGAGGAACAUCAGUGGCGAAGGCGACUAUCUGGCACAUAACUGACGCUGAGGAGCGAAAGCGUGGGUAGCAAACAGGAUUAGAUACCCGUGUAGUC